GCGCCCACAAACAAAAUCAAAAUGACCCAUUACACGAAAAACACUUUCGAUUACAUCUUUCGAUUAUUAUUGUUUAAACACAUGCCUUCUUUCCCUUUGCUUCCUUCUACGCUCACUCUCCCAUUUUCUCUCACGCCUUUUUCAUUUCUCCCUCUACAAUGGAAGAAGACGAUUCCACUAAAGUCCUUGAUCUCAUUAAGGACCUUGUUCUUCGUCUUCUUUCGCACAAUCCCACCUCCAAUUCCAGCCCUACUUCCUCUGAUUUCCAAAAAUCUCUUCGCUAUGCAAUUCGCAUUCUCACUAGCCGUAUGACUCCCUCCAUUGCUCCUGAUGCUGCCGCCAUUGCUGAGUCCAUCAAAAGGAGACUCGCCACUGAGGGUAAGUCUUCUCAGGCCCUCACUUUCGCUGAUCUUUAUACUAAAUUUGCAUCUAAAACUGGGCCUGGGAGUGUGAAUAAUAAGUGGGCUGUGCUUUAUUUGCUCAAAAUUGUGGCCGAAGAUCGUAAAUGUAGACAGUCCCAGUUUGAAUCUUCAAUGCUUUUGCCUAGUUUAGUAGCAAGUGAUCCUCUUUUGGGAAAGAAGUCUGGGGCGGCCCCGGAGAAGGAGUGGCAGAAGGGGGUUUUGUUGGUUGCGAAAGACCCUGAGAAUCUUCGCGAUGUUGCUUUUAAGGAGUUCUCGAAUUUGCUGAAGGAAGAAAAUGAAGUGACUGAAGAGGUUUUGGUGAGAGAUGUAUUGUAUGCUUGUCAAGGAAUUGAUGGGAAGUAUGUGAAAUUUGACAAUAAUUCUGAUGGGUAUGUUCUAUCCAAUUUAGUUAAGGCUUCCAGGGCUACUAGGACGAUGGUUCGCAAGCUUUGUGAAAUGGGGUGGCUGUUUAGGAAGGUUAAAGGCUAUAUCUCAGAGAGUAUGGAACGUUUUCCUGCUGAAGAUAUUGGGACUGUUGGACAUGCCUUUUGUGCUGCAUUGCAGGAUGAGCUCUCAGAAUACUAUAAACUGUUGGCCAUUCUCGAAGCCCAGUCGAUGAAUCCAAUACCUUUGGUUUCAGAGGCAGCAAGUUCAGGAAACUAUUUGUCUUUGAGGAGAUUGGCAGUUUGGUUUGCUGAGCCAAUGGCGAAAAUGAGGCUGAUGGCUGUAUUGGUUGACAAGUGUAGAGUCUUGAAGGGUGGGGCAAUGGCUGGGGCCAUCCAUUUACAUGCUCAGCAUGGUGACCCUUUGGUGCUUGAAUUCAUGAGGCGUUUGCUGCGACGUGUAUGCUCUCCCCUUUUUGAGAUGGUAAGGAGUUGGGUUUUAGAAGGGGAGUUGGAAGACAUUUUUUCUGAGUUUUUUGUUGUUGGCCAACAAGUGAAAGCUGAAUCUCUCUGGAGGGAAGGUUAUAGGCUUCAUGCUGGCAUGCUUCCAUCUUUUAUUUCGCAAUCUCUAGCCCAACGUAUUUUGAGGACUGGGAAAUCCAUUAAUUUCCUUCGUGUCUGUUGUGAGGAUAUGGGAUGGGCUGAUGCUGCAACAGAAGCAGCAGCAGCGGCUGGGACUACUACUAAAAGGGGAGGUCUUGGAUAUGGUGAAACAGAUGCCCUUGAAUCUUUGGUAGAUGAAGCUGCAAAAAGAAUAGACAAACAUUUGUUGGAUGUAAUGCACAAGCGAUAUAAGUUCAAAGACCAUUGUCUAGCAAUUAAGCGCUAUUUACUAUUAGGACAAGGAGAUUUUGUCCAAUAUUUGAUGGAUAUUGUUGGACCUGAUCUUUCUGAGCCUGCUAAUGCUAUUAGCUCAUUUAAGUUAUCUGGUCUCCUGGAAACCGCAAUUCGGUCCUCUAAUGCUCAGUAUGAUGAUCCAGACAUCUUGGAUAGAUUGAAGGUUAAGAUGAUGCCUCAUGGAACUGGAGAUAGAGGUUGGGAUGUGUUCUCAUUAGAAUAUGAGGCAAGAGUUCCGCUAGAUACUGUAUUCACAGAGUCUGUCAUGUCAAAAUAUUUAAGGAUCUUUAAUUUCCUGUGGAAGCUUAGACGUGUUGAGCAUGCACUUAUAGGUACUUGGAAGACUAUGAAACCCAACUGCAUCACGUCCUGUUCAUUAACUAAGCUGCACCAUGGGGUUAAGUUGCAAUUACUGUCAACAUUGAGGCGAUGCCAGGUCCUUUGGGUUGAGAUGAAUCAUUUUGUUACAAACUUGCAGUACUACAUAAUGUUUGAAGUCUUGGAGGUAUCAUGGUCUGACUUUUCAAAUGAAAUGGAAGCAGCAAUGGAUCUUGAUGAUUUACUUGCCGCUCAUGAAAAGUAUCUUCAUUCAAUAUUUGAGAAAUCUCUUCUUGGAGAACAAUCUCAGACACUUUGCAAGUCACUUUUUGUCUUAUUUGAUAUAAUUUUGCGAUUUCGAAGUCAUGCGGACAGGUUGUACGAGGGAAUACAUGAAUUACAAUGCAGAACAAUAGAAUCAUCUUUACCCUCCAGAGACAAGAGUAAAAAGAAUCGUACAACAGAAAAAUCUUUAGAAACAGCAUCGUGGAUAGCAGAUGGCAAGAAGGCUCUAACACAACGUGCUGGUGAAUUUCUUCGGAAUGUUGAACAAGAUCUAGCUGCAUUAGCUAAAGAGUAUUCUUCAUUGCUCGAGGAAUUCAUUUCUCAGCUGCCUUUGCAACAACACGUUGAUUUGAAGUUUCUCCUAUUUCGCCUUGACUUCACUGAAUUUUACAGCCAAUUACGUCCUCAUGUGUAGAGUGGAUGUCAGAUGUAUAUUUCGCAUGGCCUGCAUUGGUCACGAUUGGUAGAGCUCCUAACAAAUUUUUCAUGGCAGCCACAGGGAUCAACCAUUGAAAAGUUUAUUGACUGGCAUGUAAUUUUAGAAAGGGGCAGGAAAUCUCAGUUUGCACAUUGAGCGAAGGAGUGGAGAAUAUUUACUCCCCGUUGGUUAAACAGGAACGAAGACGAGGAUUAUCUCUAUCCCUAGAUUCAAUGUUCAGUUCAUUAAAAAGGUAUCCAACACCCCUUCUUGUAAAUAAUUUUUAUCUACUUUUGACGAUGAUGAGGAUUCAUUGGUAAGUGUGAGCAGUGAAGAAGUAGAAGCUUCUUUGGAACAAGCAGUGCAACAGGAGCUACUACCAGAGGAUUUAUUUGCAGAAGCCCAUAGUCUUAUUUUUGCAAGUGAAUACAUUUGUUGCAGUUUCACCAGUGUGUUAUUUGAUUCUUGACAAGUUUUAUCUUUUGGCUAAGGUUUGCAGUCUUCAAUUGUGAUUAAUCUUUUCUAGUUCUGCAGGAGUUAACAGUUUAGUGGGGUUCGUCUUGUUAUUUUAUGGUUAAGUGCUCUUUUUUGGAUUGUUUGAGGUGCUUUUUGUUAGAGUUUCUUAAAAUCCCAUUAGCCUUGGGGUCUCAUUUUCCUCUCAUGGUUAUUUAGAGUUUUUGGACCAUAACGGUGCAUUCUUAUCAGUUUCUUUGGUUGAUUUUGUUUCGUUUGGUCUGGUUUAUUUUGAUUCUGGUUUGCAUUUUAGUGUAUUUUGGAGAUAUCUAUCUAAGUUCUUUAUGCUUCUUGGUUGAAGGCUUUUAGUUAUCUCCUA